rnacentral:rRNA from 1 species
GCCAUGCCGCGUGUGUGAAGAAGGUCUUCGGAUUGUAAAGCACUUUAAGUUGGGAGGAAGGGUUGUAGCUUAAUACGCUGCAACUUUGACGUUACCAACAGAAUAAGCACCGGCUAACUCUGUGCCAGCAGCCGCGGUAAUACAGAGGGUGCAAGCGUUAAUCGGAAUCACUGGGCGUAAAGCGCACGUAGGCGGACUUU